rfam:Theobroma cacao cultivar Matina 1-6 chromosome 5, whole genome shotgun sequence.
AACCCAUGGUGAAAACACUUUCUUAUCAAAUCCUUAUAGCUCUUCCAAGCUUCAUAUAGUGAUUCAAAAUCAAAUUGCAUGAAAAAAGUGAUAUCAUUUCGCAUCUU